rnacentral:tRNA from 1 species
AUUAAGAUGGCAGAUCAGUGCAUAAGAUUUAAGCUUUUAUUAGAGAAUAAUUUAUUCUUCUUAAUA